GGGGGGAGCGCCGGAUCUUGGGCUGUGUCCCCAGCACCCUGUGCUCCCAGGCCUGCGCUGUUGGAAUCGCGCUCCCAGGCCGUGCAGCCCCUU
rnacentral:pre_miRNA from 1 species